rnacentral:lncRNA from 1 species
UUUUUUAAGUUAUUCAAGUUAUAAACUAGCCAAUUAGAUGCCCUAAUGAAAGCACUCCGUCCUGACAAUUUCUGGUCCCAACAUGGUGAUAUCCAUACUGCGUUAAAUUGGCGUCUGAAUUUACUUAGUUUGGAGCUGGAAGUAAACUACUUUUUAUGGGUGACGUGACACUCACUUGGUCCAGUUCUCAUUAUCAGUCAGUGAACCCUACCAGCUGCACCCAACCUGAGUGUCGGUCCUCCAAUAGUCAUUUUUGAAUUUUUACAAUGUAUAAAUUACUCCAUAUUUGCCUUCAUCUUAAAGUGGAAUACUUUGUAUCUUUGUUUAUUUAUUGAUUAAACUUCAGCAGGUGUAACAAAGAAACUUCUGCAGGAAUUCAAAGGUCAUUGAGAAAGUAACAUUGUAAGGGAUUGCUUUUGAAUACCAUUAGAAGUAAUCUGUAAAUACAGUGGGGAAGUAACUUGGAAAACACUGGUAUUUGAAUGCUGAAGUGGAGAGAAAGGAUUUAGAAGUACAGGUUAAUAUUUUUUAAUUUGUUAAAUUAAUUUUUAGGAUCUAUUCUGUAUUUAUAUACUGUAUUUGUUUAAGUGUGUGUGGUUCUUUUUAAGCGGAAUAAACUUUAAAACCAUCUCAGUUAGGUUAGUAUUUGUUUAGUUCACAUGUGGUUUAGGGGAAGGACAAAGACACGAAAGAUGUCUGUGAGGAAGUUUUUUUUUUUUUUUGUAAAUUCUGUCCAUCAGUCACUUUUGAUUGGACACUUAAAUAAGGGGACCUUUUUUUCCACUUUUAUUUCUCUUUUUAACAAAAAGUUCCACUUGACCACACUGGGUGUCAUCUGAAAUCCUGCCUGCAGACCGAAAGGGUUUUGUAACUCGUUGUCAGUUGACCAGAGACUUGUCGGGUAAAUCGAAAGUUAACAAAAAAGUGCAAAGCAAUGGAGAUGCAAGAGGCCCCUGCAAAGGCUGAGACAGAGGACAAAGAAAAAAGAGCAGAGAAACCGAAGCAGGAGGCCAAAACUGAAGAUGAAGCAAAUCAAGAACAAUACUCUACUCUGCUGAGUCCAAGUGAAGAGAUCUACUCUGAAGCUUUUCAUGCGACAAAGCCUCCUCAAGGUACACUUUUAUAUAAAGUGCAUCAUGUCCUGAGUUUUAAAUGUUUGUCUGAUAAUAACAGGUUUCAUUAGGAGUCUUAUUACAAAUGCAUCCUCUGCUCAAUGUGCAAUUGAAACACCCUGACAGCUUGUACCAACACGUCAUCCAGUCUGAGUGUCUGACAGCUUCUGUGAAGAACCUGCAGGUUCUUUCACCCUUUUGUGAAUUUUGAAACAGAAAUUAAAAUGAAAGUCUGAGUUGUCAUG